rnacentral:lncRNA from 1 species
UAAGAGAAGAGGUUUGACUCUUUUAAGGUUUGGUAUUCUCUCUUGAUUUUGCAGAGGUAUGAGAUCGGAUUUGACUCUUAGGAAAUCUGAUGUGAGCUUUUAAUGCUUUGAAGAAUGUUUGGAGUAACUGCUCUGAGUUCUUUCUUUUCUUGCAAUAAAUUUUUCUCUUCUUCUCUGCUUCAAUCUUCAGAUAUGUCCUUUAUAUAUGAUCUUGCUAGUUGUGUAGCCGUUGUUUGUAGCCGUUGUGAGUGUCAUCUAACCAUUGAUUCAAAUCUCCGGUUGGUAGCUUCAUUAAAUGCAUGCUGCUGUUCAGAGCUAUCCUUUAGCCAAAAAUGUGUACUUUGUCAGCUAGUAGGUGGUGAUAGCUUUGGGCUACUUUG